UACGGGGGGGGCAAGCGUUGUUCGGAAUUACUGGGCGUAAAGGGCGCGUAGGCGGCCAACUAAGUCAGACGUGAAAUCCCUCAGCUUAACUGGGGAACUGCGUGUGAUACUGGAUGGCUUGGAUUUGGGAGAGGGAUGCGGAAUUCCAGGUGUAGCGGUGAAAUGCGUAGAUAUCUGGAGGAACACCGGUGGCGAAGGCGGCAUCCUGGACCAAUAUUGACGCUGAGGAGCGAAAGCGUGGGGAGCGAACAGG
rnacentral:rRNA from 1 species